rnacentral:lncRNA from 1 species
AUGUCGUGUGUUUGUGUGUGUCUGUGUGUGUGUGUGUGUGUGUGUGUUUGUGGCCUAUGUCCGAGGGCCCCAGCAGGACAUGGCAGCCACAGUUCACUGAGGCUGGAGCAGUGGGAGGUAGCAGUGGGUGGGGCCAGCACAGUGGUCCAACCAUCUUGGGGUGCAGCAUACUUCCUGCACAGGUGCUGUCCAGAACCGGACACAGAGCUUGCCCUGGCUACACAGGCAAUAGGCUUUGAACUCCUAUGUGUGUGUGUGUCUGUGUGGGGUACUGAGGGCCUUUGCUAUACCCCCAAACCUUUUCUUUACUUCUUUAUUUUGAUACAGGCUGUUGCUAAAUUGCCCAGGCUAGGCUUGAACUUGUGCUUCAGCCUCCUACGGUGCUGGCAUGACAGGCGUGCACCACCGAGCCUCCCUGGAGUUGGGACUCUUGAGAAGCAGCUCACAGAGCCAGGGCCACUGUCAUCAUCAGAGCCCACACUCCCACAUCUGCGCCCCUGUGUUCUCACAGACCCCCGUAAUCAUCGGACGAGCCCAUGCCCCUCCAGUCCUGAGGUGGGAGUGAACAAAACAGAAGCUGUUUGGAGAGCAUCAAGGACAACACAGGGUCUGCGAGAGGUGCAGCCACAGAUUGCGAGGUUUGGGGCGCCUGACACUCCGCACGUGGUGUCUCAGUUGAUUCUCACACCAGGGAGGAGCUCCUGCCCCAUUUUACAGACAGGGUGAGGACUUCACAGCCCGCCCCACAGUGUGCCUGGGUGCGGAUGGGGGUGGGCGGGGCAGGGUCCCUCCCAGAAUUGUUCCUGUUUCCUGCUGGGGCUCCUGCUUCCUACCAUGCUCCUUCUAAGGUGCUAAUGAGCCAACACUAAGAUUUUUUUUGAGACAGGUUCUCGUUAAGAGAGAACUCACGUAUAGUCCAGGUUGGGCUUGAACUCGAGGUGAUCCUCCUGCCUCAGCCUCCCCAGUGCUGGUAUUACAAAUGUGCACCCCCACAUCUGCCUGUGAAUACUUAGAUUUGAAAGAACUGAUCCUUUGCAGGAGAUACAGUCUGGAGCCAAGGACUUCACUCAACAAUUGUCAAUAGCUCCUAAGGCCUCUGAGAGUGAUUUCCAGUGGCCCAGCCUGGUCCCCAGGGAUGUUGAGGCUUGACCCCUCUGUCCUCAACCAUUUCUUCCUGCAGCCCAGAACAGCC